UUCAUAAUAAUUCAUGAUGAUUGUGGCAAAAUAGAGUAUAAUUACGUUUUUGUGCAAUGAAAAAUGCCUGCCCUUACAUCUAUUGUAAUUUGGUUAAAUUAUGAAUAAAUUCCAGGCGACUGUUUCAGCACGAAUUAUGCUCUUUUUUAUAUGUGAUUGGUUAAUGUUUGGCCACUAUCUCGUAUAGUGGUACCUAAAGGGUGAUCCAACCUAAGAUAGAGCCCAUGUAUUUACCUUUAGGCAAGCACUCCCUGUUUCUAAACGAAUUUUUAAAUGACGGGCGCAAGCCGCGGCAGUUUUCAAACAAAACUUUACAAUCAAACUACUGUCAUUCAAAACAUAUCAAACGGGCUUCGCAACCAAAAAAUGAAUGUAUAGGUAUUGUAAAACGUAAACAAGAAUUCAAUAAAAAAUAAGAAAAAAUAAAUGGAAAGAUAACGUUUUAAUGAGUGCACAACAAAAUAAAUAUGGGAAAGCGGAAAAUGUGCAGUCCCGACGAAGCAUGGGGAUAUUCCGCAUGCUCGUCUUUUUUUACGUAGUCAUAUACAUUGGUGUAUACGUUGCACUGAUCAUGGUUCUGCUUUGUGUUAGAGGAAUUGUCUUAUCAUCUAGCAGCAUUCGCGAGGAACCUUUAAUGACAUACGAUUAUGAAUAAGUUACAAGAAGCAGAAGUAUACCUAUAAUUAAUCAAACUUUCGAAUCAAGUGUUAUUAUAAGAAGCGAGAUGGAUGUGAGAGCCAGGCUUCGACUGAAGUGAUUCCAAGGCCUCAGAAAACGUUGUUUUACGCCGUGUGAGUCCAACACAAGCGUUCACUCUCUAUGUAUUGCCGACCGAUACUUACUACGGUAAGAGAUUCCAGAAGAGAUGGCUCCAAAUCCCCAAAAUGUUGGCAACACACUUGUAGCUGCUCUGGUGUUUGCCGCAUAAAAAAAGCGAUGCAAUUUUUCGACUUUCCCUGAAGAGGUGCUGCUACCUACUCAUUCAUUUAUUCUUUACCUACAAACGCAAACAAAUGGACCGAGUUUAAAAGCCCUCCAGCUUUUAAAAUUAAACUAUGUUAUUGGUGUUUGAGUAAUAAUUAAAAUGCAAUGUUUUAAUGUAAUAUAGUAUUUGUAUCGUGCUACUA